UACGAAGGGUGCAAGCGUUACUCGGAAUUACUGGGCGUAAAGCGUGCGUAGGUGGUGAGUUAAGUCUGUCGUGAAAGCCCCGGGCUCAACCUGGGAAUGGCGAUGGAUACUGGCUCGCUAGAGUGCGGUAGAGGAGAGUGGAAUUCCCGGUGUAGCAGUGAAAUGCGUAGAGAUCGGGAGGAACAUCAGUUGCGAAGGCGGCUCUCUGGACCAGCACUGACACUGAGACGCGAAAGCUAGGGGAGCAAACGGG
rnacentral:rRNA from 1 species